UCUCCAAGCUGUGCAGGAUAGUGCUAUAGAAUUCAUUAUGUCCAUUAUGUUCAUGUGAACAUUGAUGGUACACAAUCUUAGCAACACCCUAAUUUAUGCCGUUGUUUUGUUACUAUUCAAUGCAUAACAGAAUCCGUGAAGCCUGAUUCCAGGUGAGAGAGCCAGAAUACAGGUCAGCUCUCGCACAGCCGCGCUUCUCAUUCCAGGGGCCUCUUCACUCGGUCACUGGAGGCAGCGUGCGGCGGGUGCUCCGGACCGCUGGAGAAAGAAACCAGGGGUCUCCCCACAGGGGCAGUUUUCGUGGAUGUUUUCAUUUCCUAGAUGAACCGGCUAGUUGAACGUGUAUUAAUCUUAAGACAUCCCCGCCUCCCACACGUUUCCUGAGCCCCGAGGACAGGUCAGGCGUCCCCCUGACCCGGGGGGGAGGGGCAGAAGCCAUAGUCAUAGCAACGGCCAGGGUCACGGGUAACAACAACAAGAGCAGCGCUAAUACUAGCAACCACGUGUACACCGUGCUCAAGAUCACCCGGAGUCAGAGUCCGGAAGCAGAAUAGGCUGAAUUCAAGCCGAGGCCGCCACGCUCAAGAGCCCACAAGACUGCCUUAGACUGUAAGGUCCAUGAGAUCAGAGAUUAACGGAGACCAUGCCUGUCUGACCACUCUAUCCCCAGAGCCGAGCAAAGUACUGGAAACAAAAUAGACAUGCAAUAAACACUGGUUGAAAGAAUUCUUUUAAGAAUUCGGUUUAGUGAGGAAAAUUACCAUCAUGGAGUCACAGCAGCUUCCUGCUUAUUUAUACUUCUGGACAAGCACUUCAUUUGAAGAAAGGAUUCAUUGUCUAAAAAUGUUUGAAAAGCACUGCUAUAGGUGACGAAGAGUCACUGAAAGAUUUGAAGCAGGAGACUUAUGUAAUGUGCAUCUGAGAUCACUCAGACAGUAGACAACAGACUGGAGGAGAACAAAGUGAAAGGCCAAGAGACCAGUUUUACAGGAAAACACCAGUUUGGAACAGGACUCUGGUUGCUGUGCAGAAAACAGACCACUGGAGACAAGGAGUGGAGAGUAAGAGGCUGUGGCAAUUCCAGGUGAGGGAUGAUGGUGGCUUGGACUAGAGCGGCAGAAAUGGAAGUGGAGGAAUUUAGUUUUGAGGGAAGCCUGGAUACACUCAAGGUUAAACAGAAAAGCUGCCCUGGAGUGGGGCAGGGAAGCAUCAGCAUGGAGCAGGAAAGCCCACCAAUCUUCCAAGAGACGCGCCUCCCAGAUCACAGCCAGAGAAAAUCUGCCCUCGAGAACCCGAAGUUUCGCUUCUCGCAGACGCCCUCCGGUUCCCGAAGAUCACAUCCAGAGAAUAUCCGCCCUCGAGAACCCGAAGUUUCGCCUCUUGCAGACGCCCUCCGGUUCCCGACUACUUACCCAGCAC